GUAUAGGGGGUGAAUUCUGCCCAAUGGUUGUAUCGUGAAACCGAGGAUUAACGUCCGAGGCUAAGCCCAAUUGAAUGGCCGCGGUAUACCUGACCGUGAUAAUGUAGCACAAUAAAUAGCCAAUUAAUUGUUGGCGGGUAUGAACGGAAUCACGAGGGUCUUACUGUCUCAAGAGGAAAGACGAUGAAAUUAUAGUUGUAGUGAAGAUACUACAUAGACAUUGUAAGACGAAAAGACCCUAUCGAGCUUUACUGGACACCGACAGUGUUAGUGCAAGAGGGGUUAAUAGCCCAGAAGGGCUAUCUGUUUUGUGCUUAACGGCUUGUCGGUCGGACAGUUUAGUUGGGGCGACUACCUUUGAAUAAGAAACGAAGGCGAGCUUAUGGUGGUGGUAAUAAUCUCAUUAGCCUGACAGUGAGGGGGACACCCCUAGCUGGCACCCUGAGAGACCUCUGGUCUCUUGGAGGUGGGCGAUAAUGACCCGAUACUAGUACUCCAAAGGCAGUAUCGAAAGCGGAUAAAAGCUACCGUAGGGAUAACAGCGUAAUAUCAUUGGAGAGUUCUUAUCGAGGAUGGUGUUUGCGACCUCGAUGUUGAAUUGCGGUGCCCUGGUGCUGUAGAAGGUACCUUGGGUUGGUC
rnacentral:rRNA from 1 species